rnacentral:rRNA from 1 species
GUAAGGAAUAUUGGACAAUGGGGGGAACCCUGAUCCAGCCAUGCCGCGUGUGUGAAGAAGGCCUUUUGGUUGUAAAGCACUUUAAGCGAGGAGGAGGCUACCGAGAUUAAUACUCUUGGAUAGUGGACGUUACUCGCAGAAUAAGCACCGGCUAACUCUGUGCCAGCAGCCGCGGUAAUACAGAGGGUGCAAGCGUUAAUCGGAUUUACUGGGCGUAAAGCGCGCGUAGGUGGCCAAUUAAGUCAAAUGUGAAAUCCCCGAGCUUAACUUGGGAAUUGCAUUCGAUACUGGUUGGCUAGAGUAUGGGAGAGGAUGGUAGAAUUCCAGGUGUAGCGGUGAAAUGCGUAGAGAUCUGGAGGAAUACCGAUGGCGAAGGCAGCCAUCUGGCCUAAUACUGACACUGAGGUGCGAAAGCAUGGGGAGCAAACAGGAUUAGAUACCCCAGUAGUCC